AAAAUAGAGUAAAUUUAGCUUCGAACUAAAUAAAUGAUUAAAAUCCUAUUUUA
rnacentral:tRNA from 1 species